rnacentral:rRNA from 1 species
UGCAGAGGGUGCGAGCGUUGUCCGGAAUUACUGGGCGGAAAGAGCUCGUAGGUGGUUUGUCGCGUUGUUCGUGAAAACUCACAGCUCAACUGUGGGCGUGCGGGCGAUACGGGCAGACUGGAGUACUGCAGGGGAGACUGGAAUUCCUGGUGUAGCGGUGGAAUGCGCAGAUAUCAGGAGGAACACCGGUGGCGAAGGCGGGUCUCUGGGCAGUAACUGACGCUGAGGAGCGAAAGCGUGGGGAGCGAACAGG